rnacentral:rRNA from 1 species
UACGUAGGGGGCAAGCGUUGUCCGGAUUUAUUGGGCGUAAAGAGCGUGUAGGCGGCUUUACAGGUCCGUUGUGAAAACUCGAGGCUCAACCUCGAGACGCCGGUGGAAACCGUAAAGCUAGAGUCCGGAAGAGGAGAGUGGAAUUCCUGGUGUAGCGGUGAAAUGCGCAGAUAUCAGGAGGAACACCAAUGGCGAAGGCAGCUCGCUGGGACGGUACUGACGCUGAGACGCGAAAGCGUGGGGAGCAAACGGG